UGCUUUGUCGACGCACUCUCCAUUCUCGCUCCUGGAAUAGCGCAUUGUCGCGUCUACUGCACAAAUAUUUAUAAAAACGAAGUAUCAGAAGAUAAGAGCAGCAAACCUGGCACUCGGUCGCCGUCUUUAUCAGUAAAAGAAAGCCGCUUUAGCGCGAAGAAGAGUAAUAUUCAGUGAGAGAUGGUGGUGGCCUCCCUGCAUCAGCUGUGAGGGUGACACGACACCUCCUCAACCUUCCUCAACCCUCCUAGACCCUCCUCACACCUUCCUAGACCUCCCUCCCUCCAACAAGCCGAGACAGGCUCCUGAGGAAGGUGAUCCAGCAAUCAUGCAAGUGCCUAUUAGUGCCCAUUGCAGUGCCACCUUGAGGACCCACAAUUCGGACCAAUUACAAUGGGGGAUUUGCAUGGAACUUACACACCUUGCUGAACGGAUGCCUAUCUGCAAGGGUGCUAAUUAUGAAGGAAAUUGGUCGACGUCAAGCUCGGCUACAGGUUGUGAUGCUAAAACUUGGACCAGUUGCAGCGCUUUCUAUAACCAUUCCAUGAUUAAAUU